GCCUGGCUGGCUCAGUCAGUAGAGCAUGUGGCUCUUAAUCUCAGGAGUCAUGAGUUCAAGCCCCAUGUUGGGUG
rnacentral:tRNA from 1 species